rnacentral:lncRNA from 1 species
CCAAACCCCAGGAGGGCGAGCUUGUAAGCCCCUUAUAUCUGAAGUUCUUCCUCUGUGGCCAUGGAGGCUCUGCUCUGAGAACUCAGGUUAUUGAGAACAGAGUCUCCCCCCUGAGGAACUUCAAUUCGAACGGUGGUAAUCUGGUGCUAGUUAAACAGGGGGAAACUGAGGCAAGAAAUCCUCUACAUUGGGAAAUCUGGUUCCUCUUCUAAACACUUCUGCAAUCCCAUAGAGCUGCCCGGCUCUCCACUGGAAAAGUGCAUUGUGUAUGAAGUGUGAGACACCAGUGCUCUGUGAGGGUUCUUCUUCCUCCUACAGUCCUUACUGCUCCUCUGAGACCUAAAAAGUACCAUUUUCAGUUUCUGUUUAGCAUCAUUAAGGAAGAGCGGCAAUGGACAAGGGAGCUUCCUAGAGACGGCCCGCCAUCUUGCUCUGCUGCAAUAGGUGAACCCUGAG